rnacentral:rRNA from 1 species
GUGGAGCGCUUAGAAGUGAGAAUGCCGGUAUGAGUAGCGAAAGAGGGGUGAGAAUCCCCUCCACCGAAUGCCUAAGGUUUCCUGAGGAAGGCUCGUCCGCUCAGGGUUAGUCGGGACCUAAGCCGAGGCCGAAAGGCGUAGGCGAUGGACAACAGGUUGAUAUUCCUGUACCACCUCCUCACCAUUUGAGCAAUGGGGGGACGCAGGAGGAUAGGGUAAGCGCGGUAUUGGAUAUCCGCGUCCAAGCAGUUAGGCUGGGAAAUAGGCAAAUCCGUUUCCCAUAAGGCUGAGCUGUGAUGGCGAGCGAAAUAUAGUAGCGAAGUUCCUGAUUCCACACUGCCAAGAAAAGCCUCUAGCGAGGUGAGAGGUGCCCGUACCGCAAACCGACACAGGUAGGCGAGGAGAGAAUCCUAAGGUGAUCGAGAGAACUCUCGUUAAGGAACUCGGCAAAAUGACCCCGUAACUUCGGGAGAAGGGGUGCUCUGUUAGGGUGCAAGCCCGAGAGAGCCGCAGUGAAUAGGCCCAGGCGACUGUUUAGCAAAAACACAGGUCUCUGCGAAGCCGUAAGGCGAAGUAUAGGGGCUGACGCCUGCCCGGUGCUGGAAGGUUAAGAGGAGCGCUUAGCGUAAGCGAAGGUGCGAAUUGAAGCCCCAGUAAACGGCGGCCGUAACUAUAACGGUCCUAAGGUAGCGAAAUUCCUUGUCGGGUAAG